rnacentral:lncRNA from 7 species
ACACCCCUGUCCGGGAACAAAAGAGUCACACACAAGAGACCUGACUGUGAAGCCUCCAUCCGCUUUCAUCACUGACCCCCAGGGCAGCCGGGGCACAAGGAGAAGAAAUUUGUGAAACAAUGCCAAGGUGAUCCAGUGUGGAGGGAUAUUUCCAGCUUGCCAGUGGACAGAAGCUACACCUCAUCCCUGGAGGUCCUAAGAUGUCCAGUGCGGCAGUGAUAUUUUUUGCAGGUGGGUAAUUUUCAUUACUUUUCCCCCUUGGGAUGAGGUGAUCUGCCGGAUUUCUGGUAUUGAGACAGACACAGCCUUGGGGCACACGCAGAUCAUCCUCCAUCUCAGGCAGAGCGCAUCCAACCGACCCCAAACACGUCGGAUUGACUGCAGACAAAAGGCAGGGUCACCCAGCACGUGUGUACAAAGACUUCAGGGAUGCUUCACAGGGACAGAGUGAGGGGCAUAUACAAUAUACACACACCAGUGGAGAAGCACAAAAGCAGAGCCCGUCAGGCACGCUGCCUUCCCGCAGCCAUUCUUGCCAGCGCCCACACGGAGGAGCUCCUGCCUUAGGAAUGAAUCCUCGCUGGGCGGCUGUUGUAACCCCCUGGGAGGCUCUGGAGUUCAAGGAGCGUCUGGUCAGUGCCCUCAGACGCAGGGUCUGAUUUUUGUGUGGUCCUGUGUGGAGCCCGAUGGUCCUUAUGGGUUCCUUCCCUCUCAAUGAUUCUAUGAGUCUAUAACGUCUCAGACUCGGCCUCAAACUGAUGAAUAAAACCCACUCUUGCUCUUGUACU